rnacentral:misc_RNA from 1 species
CUGUGAGAUUACAUGUGCAUAUAGUGUUAAUGCUAUAAGAGUGUAGUAUCUACUCACAAAGUUAUCAGGUUAAAUAGUUUUAUCAACUAAUAAAAAUGUUAUUGCAUAACUAAUGUUAUACUGUAGCCCUGCCACGAUAUCCAGCGAAAAUUAUUUUGCUGAGUAUCGUAGUAAAAGUUAAGAUAUGAUGUUGAGAAUUUUUUUGAGUCGUGCAACAACAUUAACAGCAAACUAUAAUACAAAUCUAUCUUUUUAAAAGUUUGUAU